GACAAAGGAAACGUGAUCAAGCCUAUUAUGCCACAAAAGAUUUACAUCAUACUUAUCAAACACAGUUGAAGAGUCAUUCUUAUUAUUGUGAAUGAAAGUAUUUAUAUUUGGUGAAUGAGUAUGUGAAUGAGCAGGACUUUUGAAGUCUCUGCUAUUUACACUAGCACAAGAAGAAUGAUUGCAACAAGAAACUAACACAUUAACAUUUGAAAUAGUACUUUUACCCUUUAGACACCUAGAACAUAGAUAGUAUAGUCCUUCCUUGUUACUACCAAUCACUGGAGGCUUUUUCACUGAAGGGACCUGCAACAGAUAUAGUGCAUCGGUAAAGAACACAAUACACCUAAGAUGCACUACAAGUGAAUGGACAGAAAUUAGGUUGUACUUGAAAGAUGGAACAUAUAGGACUUUGUGUAAGGUAAUUUCAGGACUGAGUAUCACAUCUCCAAGGUCAAGCACUUUUACCCUAUAUCCAUUUGGUAAACUUAUCAGUAGAGGAUAUGGUAGUGUUAUGAUAUUACUAAGUGCAGUUUUAUUAAAGGUCAUAUGGUUAGAUGCUCCUAAGUCUGUGAUCCAAAAGUCAGUUUUUAAUUCAAAUUAUUUGCAUGAUGGUUUGUCAAAAUCAAUAGUAGAAGUGCAGACUACAAUACCUGCAAAGUUGAUAGCACCAUUAGUGAUAUUCGCAUUACUGGGAGAUCCUUCUGUGUUGCUUGUCUAGAAAUGUUGCAGCAAAUUCAUUAUCUACCCAUAUUGUUCUUUUGCCAAGCUAAAAUUUUGAUUCUCAUCAUACUGGGUUGGAUUAUCUUCCUUCUCAUGGAGUAGAUCAGUUGGGACUCCAUGUACAUUUGGCACAACUCCUUUUCCUCUAUUGAACUAGUGAUUUUGAAUUUGACUUGAAUUGUUACCCUAAUCGAAUUGUUGAGUGCUAGUGCGAUUAAAGCUUUAAAUGUUGUAUGAAUUGUUUUGGGAAUAUCUAUUGUAGCUUAUAACACUUGUUCUUAGUGUGGCCUGGCCUUUUGCAAUAAUUACAUAAUGGUCGAGCCCUAUCAUUCGUAGUGUAAUGUGUUUUGAAAUUCCUAGGUUCGAGUGGAGUAUGAUGUUGUGAAGAUGUGGCAUUCACGUGUAGUGAAGUAGACUCGAGGUUUAGUUGAUUGUUUGGUCUGAAUUAUCUUUGCUUCUCCUCUUGUAUUAGCAGAUAGAAGGCAUGCGCUAAGGAUGACAGAGGUUUCAUCAUCAAAAUGCAUCCUCACACUAUUGUUAGACUUCAUUUAGGCCUAUAAAAACUAAAUGAGUUGUCGAUCAUGUUCUGCCUUAUGUAUAGUCUCCUUUGAUCCACACAUGCAAACACAACUAUACUGAGAUAUAGCACUCAAGGUGUUUGGUUCUUCCCACAAUCUGUUUCAUUCGUGCAUAGUAGGCAGUAAUGUCUAAGGAGCCCUGAACAAGGUUGUUGAUCUCUUUUUGGAUCUGAUGCAGCUUUGCCCUAUUUAUUUGAUCAUAUCGAUCUUCUAGUUCCCUCUAUAGCUCGACCGAAUCAUUGACAUACUCAACCCUGUCAGAAUUCUCCUUUGUGAGGGAAUUAAUGAUCCAGGAAGUUAUCAUAUCGUCGCAUCUCUCCGAUUGACAAAAACAAGGUUGAAUUAGGGGUAGGUUUCCUACAUUCCCCAUUUAUGAAACCUAAUUUGUUUUUGACUUAUAGGGCUCACAACACACUCCUUCUCCAUGACCUAUACCUAAUUCUGUCAAAUAGAACAGACAUUAGCAUUACUCCGGGACUAUCCAAAGGGUAAAUGUAUAAAGGAUUGCUCGCACCGAUAACUGGUUGGUCAUUUUUACUUGUAUUGGGUGUGAGUUCUUUGAUCUGAUCGAUAGCCAUGUAAGGAGAUCUAAUCGAUAAACUUGACGAAUGUAUCAACCGAUUUGGUGAGUAGACAGAUCAAUUUUGUAGAAAACUCUUCAAUUCAUAUGAAAAUUGCAGAUCGGAAUCAUAGAGUCAUACCUUUUAGUAGGUGACGGAGGAAAAGAGAUCUUGAGACACAAAAUUCCGGCAGAUUUCGAGCAAAUACGUUCUACCGGCUCUGAUACCAUAUCGAGAUUAUUACAAUGAAGAAGAGAUGAAGCUUGCUGAGAAGCUUAGAAGCUUCAAUGGUGAUUCUCGAGAGUUCUGAGAGAGGAAAAUAUCUGAGAGAACGGGGAGAGGAUGAAAUGAAUUGUAAAAUAAAAC
rnacentral:lncRNA from 1 species